UACGAAGGGGGCUAGCGUUGUUCGGAAUUACUGGGCGUAAAGCGCGUGUAGGCGGACUCUUAAGUCAGGGGUGAAAUCCCGGGGCUCAACCCCGGAACUGCCUUCGAAACUGCCUGGCUCGAGUCCGGGAGAGGGUGGUGGAAUUCCCAGUGUAGAGGUGAAAUUCGUAGAUAUUGGGAGGAACACCAGUGGCGAAGGCGGCCACCUGGACGGUGACUGACGCUGAGACGCGAAAGCGUGGGGAGCAAACAGG
rnacentral:rRNA from 1 species